GAUCUGAAGUAGUAUGGUAGAAUAGGGUGAACAACGAUUGAAAGCUGUAUAUUCGGUUAGUCCUCCUCCUCCUCUUCAGCCUUCAAAAUAGAUUCUCUCAGGAGUAAGGUUGAACUGCUGCAGCUGCCGCUGGCUCUAUCCUCUAAAUCUAUCUCAGAGCGCAAAACUCAACUGGGCAUAGCAACAAAAUGUUCCAGGAGGCGGAGCUGGGGUCCACAAACCCCGCCCACUGGCCCCAGACAUGGACAACGAGUCACAGUACUCGGGCUACUCCUACAAGUCCUCCCAUUCCCGUAGCUCUCGCAAGCACAGGGAUCGGAGAGACAGGCACCGCUCUAAGAGCAGGGACAGCAGAGGGGACAAAUCGGUCAC